UUACGCGAAGACCUUACCAGCCCUUGACAUGGUCGGACGGUUACCAGAGAUGGUUUCCUUCACUUCGGUGACUGACACACAGGUGCUGCAUGGCUGUCGUCAGCUCGUGUCGUGAGAUGUUGGGUUAAGUCCCGCAACGAGCGCAACCCUCGCCCUUAGUUGCCAUCAUUCAGUUGGGCACUCUAAGGGGACUGCCGGUGAUAAGCCGGAGGAAGGUGGGGAUGACGUCAAGUCUUCAUGGCCCUUACGGGCUGGGCUACACACGUGCUACAAUGGCGGUGACAGAGGGCUGCUAGGCCGCGAGGCCAUGCUAAUCCCUAAAAGCCGUCUCAGUUCGGAUUGUAGGCUGCAACUCGCCUGCAUGAAGCUGGAGUUGCUAGUAAUCCCGGAUCAGCACGCCGGGGUGAAUACGUUCCCGGGUCUUGUACACACCG
rnacentral:rRNA from 1 species